UCCCCCGCAGGCCGCUGCCCCCACAGCGGCUUCGUUGCGCUCUGGCUGUCUCCUCGGCCCUGUGGGGGAGGGGAAGGGGCUUCCCCAGGGCUGCAGCUCUAGGGUUCCUAGCACAGGACAGGGAGCAGAGGCAGUGGUGACCCGGGCCAUGGGCUCUGCUGGUUGGGACAUGGGUUCUGCAGGGCCCGCAUGGUGUCAAUGCCGAAGCGGGAAGUGACUUUCCCUGGACGGUGAGAAGACUCACCGGAGGUGCAGGCGUCCGCUCCCUGUGGGUACCGGAGGAGUGAUGGCUGGACCACAGCCCUCCUGGAAACAGAGGGGCAGAUCCCAAGGUGCCCCCUGCAUCCCUGUGCCAGUGCACACACAUGCUGCUCCCGUUGCACGUUCAUAGCCAAAUUGAGCGGAAGGUGCAAAGAUUUCCCAGCCAUGCCCGACCCCACACCAGAAGCCUUUAUUCCGAGAGAGGAGCCCCUGCGGACCCCUCAUCGUUUCCAUCAGGGCUCAGUCUUGCUGCUGCGUAUUCUACGUGACAAAGGCAAAGACAGUCUGCUACUCUUGCCUUACGCCUGUCCCACCAGGGAGUGUGGAGGGCACUAUGGAGAGGCAUUUAGCCCAGGGUGGACCGUGCAGAGUGUCUUCCCUGCCAGACGGAGGGGAUCCACAUAAUGAGCCAAUGAUAUUUAGAUGAGACUUGGGACAGAGACGAUGGGUGUGUCCCAGUCCUGAUUCCAGGAACCUGUAAAUUUGACCUUACUUGGAAAAAAGUGUCUCGGCAGAUGCAGUUACGUUAAAAACCUUGAGAUCUCGAGGGGUCAUCUGCUGGGCACUGGAGCCACUGACAAGCGUUGAAACAGACACACUGGUCAAGGCGGUGAUGCCAAGAUGCGGGGAGGCGGAGAGAUGCGGCUGCAGGUCGCCAGCGGGGCACAAGUCACCAGGGCACAGCUGUGCAUCUUAGCACCACGGCCUCAGAACCAGAGCCUCACGUCACCGCACACUGCGGCCUGGGGUCCCCCAGCAAGAGCCACGGGACGUCGGGAGACUGUGUUCCUUGCCUGUCCUUGUUAGCCAUAAAAAUAAACAGGCAUUUUAUCAGCAAAA